rnacentral:rRNA from 1 species
UGGGGAAUAUUGGGCAAUGGGCGCAAGCCUGACCCAGCCAUGCCGCGUGAGUGACGAAGGCCUUAGGGUUGUAAAGCUCUUUUGGCGGGGACGAUAAUGACGGUACCCGCAGAAUAAGCCCCGGCUAACUUCGUGCCAGCAGCCGCGGUAAUACGAAGGGGGCUAGCGUUGUUCGGAAUCACUGGGCGUAAAGCGCACGUAGGCGGACUUUCAAGUCAGGGGUGAAAUCCCGGGGCUCAACCUCGGAACUGCCUUUGAUACUGUUGGUCUCGAGUCCGGAAGAGGUGGGUGGAAUUCCUAGUGUAGAGGUGAAAUUCGUAGAUAUUAGGAAGAACACCGGUGGCGAAGGCGGCCCACUGGUCCGGUACUGACGCUGAGGUGCGAAAGCGUGGGGAGCAAACA